CGCGCAGGCGGUUCCUUAAGUCUGAUGUGAAAGCCCACGGCUCAACCGUGGAGGGUCAUUGGAAACUGGGGAACUUGAGUGCAGAAGAGAAGAGUGGAAUUCCACGUGUAGCGGUGAAAUGCGUAGAGAUGUGGAGGAACACCAGUGGCGAGGGCGACUCUUUGGUCUGUAACUGACGCUGAGGCGCGAAAGCGUGGGGAGCAAACA
rnacentral:rRNA from 1 species